rnacentral:rRNA from 1 species
UACAGAGGUGGCAAGCGUUGUUCGGAAUUACUGGGCGUAAAGGGCUCGUAGGCGGUCUUGCAAGUCCUGUGUGAAAUCCCUCGGCUCAACUGAGGAACUGCACAGGAAACUGCUUGGCUUGAGUUCGGGAGAGGGAAGCGGAAUUCCGGGUGUAGCGGUGAAAUGCGUAGAUAUCCGGAGGAACACCGGUGGCGAAGGCGGGUCUCUGGGCCGAUACUGACGCUGAGGAGCGAAAGCGUGGGGAGCAAACAGG